rnacentral:rRNA from 1 species
GGUAGAGAGGUGCUUGCACCUCUUGAGAGCGGCGGACGGGUGAGUAAUGCCUAGGAAUCUGCCUGGUAGUGGGGGAUAACGUUCGGAAACGGACGCUAAUACCGCAUACGUCCUACGGGAGAAAGCAGGGGACCUUCGGGCCUUGCGCUAUCAGAUGAGCCUAGGUCGGAUUAGCUAGUUGGUGAGGUAAUGGCUCACCAAGGCGACGAUCCGUAACUGGUCUGAGAGGAUGAUCAGUCACACUGGAACUGAGACACGGUCCAGACUCCUACGGGAGGCAGCAGUGGGGAAUAUUGGACAAUGGGCGAAAGCCUGAUCCAGCCAUGCCGCGUGUGUGAAGAAGGUCUUCGGAUUGUAAAGCACUUUAAGUUGGGAGGAAGGGCCAUUACCUAAUACGUGAUGGUUUUGACGUUACCGACAGAAUAAGCACCGGCUAACUCUGUGCCAGCAGCCGCGGUAAUACAGAGGGUGCAAGCGUUAAUCGGAAUUACUGGGCGUAAAGCGCGCGUAGGUGGUUCGUUAAGUUGGAUGUGAAAUCCCCGGGCUCUACCUGGGAACUGCAUUCAAAACUGUCGAGCUAGAGUAUGGUAGAGGGUGGUGGAAUUUCCUGUGUAGGGGUGCAAUGCGUAGAUAUAAGAAGGAACACCAGUGGCGAAAGCGACCACCUGGACUGAUACUGACCCUGACGUGCGAAAGCGUGGGGAGCAAACAGGAUUAGAGAGCCUGGUAGUCCACGCGGUACUCGAUGUCAACUAGCCGUUGGGAGCCUUGAGCUCGUAUUGUCGCAGCUCACGCAUUAAUUUGACCGUCUGGGGAGUACGGACGCACCCUUAAAGCUCACAUGAAUUGAUUUUCGCCCGCACAAAAGAGGACCAUGGCGUUUAUUCCAAACAACGCAAAAAACAUUACCACGCCCUGACAUCUAAGAACUCUCGGAGAGGAUAGAUGGCGUCUGGUACAUUGAGACAGUGAAGCAUGGCUGUCGUCAGCUCGUGUCGUGCGACGUCCGCUAGUCCUGUAUUAUCCAACCAUAGUCCUACCUACCAGCACGGUGAGGUGGGCAGUCUACGUACUGUCAGUGACAAACUGAGCACGUGGGAUGAAGAAAGGGAGUCAUGACUUUCUCCUGGGCUACUCGUGCUACAUGUAC